rnacentral:rRNA from 1 species
ACACGCAUGACACACUGCAUAUCAAUAAGCGGAGGAAAAGAAACUAACUAGGAUUCCCUUAGUAACGGCGAGUGAAGCGGGAAGAGCUCAAAUUUGAAAUCUUCAAGGUUUUACCUUGACGAAUUGUAGUUUAAAGAAGUGUUUUCUGUUAGUGGAGUUUGGUAAAAGUUCUUUGGAAUAGGACAUCAUAGAGGGUGAGAAUCCCGUAUUCGGACCAUUAUUCCCUAGCUGUGUGAUACACUUUCAAAGAGUCGGAUUGUUUGGGAAUGCAGUCCAAAAUGGGUGGUAAUUUCAUCUAAAGCUAAAUAUUGGCGAGAGACCGAUAGCGAACAAGUACCGUGAGGGAAAGAUGAAAAGAACUUUGAAAAGAGAGUUAAACAGUACGUGAAAUUGUCAAAAGGGAAGCGUUUGACACCAGUGUUGUUUAGUUCCGAAAAUCAAUUCACUAAUUUUUGAUUUUAAGUAGUUAUGACUUCAUCAGCUUGCUGCUCUCUUUACGGAAACUUCUUGAAUGCACUUUUCAGUUAACAAGUCAACAUCAAUUUCUUUUGUUGUAAAAGGUUAAGAGGAAGGUGGCUUACGCUUCGGCGUAAGUGUUUAUAGCCUUUUACCUCUGCAAUCGGAGAGAUUGAGGACAGCAGCGUAGACUCUUCGGGGUUAGAUACACUUGUGCUAAGCUAUAGCCUUGUAUAGACAACUUGUUGACUAUGCUCAGUCAUGUAGCUUACUCGCAUGUGCUAUUUUACCUACGCUUAGGAUGUUGACUGAUAUGUAGUCGUA